rnacentral:snRNA from 1 species
AUAUUAAAUACUCAAUCAUGAUACCAUGAUAGGGAAGGUGGUUUUCCCAGGGCGAGAUUCAUCCAUUGCAUUCUGGAUGUGGAGCCUAAAUCCUUGUGAUUUCCCAAAUGUGGAAACCUGGACUGCAUAAUUUGCGGUAGUUGGGGGAUGGAAUUUAAA